AUUGCCCCAGUAACGGCGAGUGAAGCGGCAACAGCUCAAAUUUGAAAUCUGGCCCCCGGGUCCGAGUUGUAAUUGGCAGAGGAUGCUUUUGGCGAGGGUCCUUCCAAGUUCCUUAGAAUAGGGCGCCGCAGAGGGUGAGAGCCCCGUACGGUUGGCCCCCGAGCUUGUGUGGAGCUCCUUCAACGAGUCGAGUAGUUUGGGAAUGCUGCUCUAAUUGGGAGGUAAAUUUCUUCUAAAGCUAAAUACCGGCCAGAGACCGAUAGCGCACAAGUAGAGUGAUCGAAAGAUGAAAAGCACUUUGAAAAGAGGGUGAAAAAGUACGUGAAAUUGUUGAAAGGGAAGCGCUUGUGAGCAGACCUGCGCCCGGCAAAUCACCCAGCCCCGGGUGGUGCACUUCUCCGGCGUAUGCCAGCCCUGUUUCGCCGAGGGGGACAAAGGCGGGGGGAAUGUGGUUCCCUUCUGGGAGUGUUAUAGCCCCCCGUGUAAUGCCCUGGGGCGGACCGAGGUUCGCGCUCUGCAAGGGUGCUGGCGUAAUGGUCAUCAGCGGCCCGUCUUGAAACACGGACCAAGGAGUCGUCCUCGUAUGCGAGUGUUUGGGUGUAAAACCCUUGCGCGUAAUGAAAGUGAACGCAGGUGAGAGCUUCGGCGCAUCAUCGACCGAUCCUGAUGUUCUCGGAUGGAUUUGAGUAAGAGCAUAUGGGGCCGGACCCGAAAGAAGGUGAACUAUGCGUGUGUAGGGUGAAGCCAGAGGAAACUCUGGUGGAGGCUCGCAGCGGUUCUGACGUGCAAAUCGAUCGUCAAACAUGCGCAUGGGGGCGAAAGACUAAUCGAACCUUCUAGUAGCUGGUUUCCGCCGAAGUUUCCCUCAGGAUAGCAGUGUUGAGCUCAGUUUUAUGAGGUAAAGCGAAUGAUUAGGGACUCGGGGGCGCUAUUUAGCCUUCAUCCAUUCUCAAACUUUAAAUAUGUAAGAAGCCCUUGUUACUUAACUGAACGUGGGCAUUCGAAUGUAUCAACACUAGUGGGCCAUUUUUGGUAAGCAGAACUGGCGAUGCGGGAUGAACCGAUCGCGGGGUUAAGGUGCCAGAGUAGACGCUCAUCAGACACCACAAAAGGUGUUAGUACAUCUUGCCAGCAGGUAAGUCAAAUCUAUAAGGUUGUUUUCCUUUUCGUUUUUGGUGAACAGGGAAGGACCCUCCCUCCGUUACGAGGAGGGUUUCUUCCUAUUUGUAUUUUGGGCCGGGGCACACCACGCGUGUGGGCGGGCAGGCGGGCGGGCUGUGGGGGGACCUCCUUUGUUUUCCCCAUUUCUUUAAAUAGUACUGUAAUACCGAGCUGGGUAGGAAUACUAACUGUGAAUGCAGGACGGUGGCCAUGGAAGUCGGAAUCCGCUAAGGACUGUGUAACAACUCACCUGCCGAAUGUACUAGCCCUGAAAAUGGAUGGCGCUCAAGCGUCUCACCCAUACCCCGCCCCCAGGGUAGAAACGAUGCCCUGGGGAGUAGGCGGACGUGGCCGUGGUGACGAAGCCUAGGGC
rnacentral:rRNA from 1 species